GACGUAGGGGGCCAGCGUUGUUCGGAAUUACUGGGCGUAAAGGGUUCGUAGGCGGUGCGGCAAGUCGGGAGUGAAAUCUCUGGGCUUAACCCAGAGGCUGCUUCCGAAACUGCUGUGCUUGAGUGUGGGAGAGGCGCGUGGAAUUGCAGGUGUAGCGGUGAAAUGCGUAGAUAUCUGGAGGAACACCUAUGGCGAAGGCAGCUCGCUGGGACGUUACUGACGCUGAGACGCGAAAGCGUGGGGAGCAAACAGG
rnacentral:rRNA from 1 species